rnacentral:tRNA from 1 species
GAGGGUAUAGCUCAGGUGGUAGAGCACAUGCUUAGCACGCACAAAGUCCUGGGUUCAAUUCCCAGUACCAUCU